rnacentral:rRNA from 1 species
UACGAAGGGGGCUAGCGUUGCUCGGAUUGACUGGGCGUAAAGGGCGCGUAGGCGGUUCGUACAGUCAGACGUGAAAUUCCUGGGCUCAACCUGGGGGCUGCGUUUGAUACGUGCGGACUUGAGUGCGGAAGAGGGUCGUGGAAUUCCCAGUGUAGAGGUGAAAUUCGUAGAUAUUGGGAAGAACACCGGUGGCGAAGGCGGCGACCUGGACUGUGAUUGACGCUGAGGCGCGAAAGCGUGGGGAGCAAACAGG